rnacentral:rRNA from 1 species
UACGUAGGUCCCGAGCGUUGUCCGGAUUUAUUGGGCGUAAAGCGAGCGCAGGUGGUUUAUUAAGUCUGGUGUAAAAGGCAGUGGCUCAACCAUUGUAUGCAUUGGAAACUGGUAGACUUGAGUGCAGGAGAGGAGAGUGGAAUUUCAUGUGUAGCGGUGAAAUGCGUAGACAUAUGGAGGAACACCGGUGGCGAAAGCGGCUCUCUGGCCUGUAACUGACACUGAGGCUCGAAAGCGUGGGGAGCAAACAGG